rnacentral:rRNA from 1 species
AUGCAACCUUAGCUCAGGUGGGGCUACCUGUUGAGUUUAAGCAUAUCAAUAAGCAGAGGAAAAGAAACUAACAAGGAUUCCC